rnacentral:rRNA from 1 species
CACGUGGGGAACCUGCCCCAUAGUCUGGGAUACCACUUGGAAACAGGUGCUAAUACCGGAUAAGAAAGCAGAUCGCAUGAUCAGCUUAUAAAAGGCGGCGUAAGCUGUCGCUAUGGGAUGGCCCCGCGGUGCAUUAGCUAGUUGGUAAGGUAACGGCUUACCAAGGCAAUGAUGCAUAGCCGAGUUGAGAGACUGAUCGGCCACAUUGGGACUGAGACACGGCCCAAACUCCUACGGGAGGCAGCAGUAGGGAAUCUUCCACAAUGGACGCAAGUCUGAUGGAGCAACGCCGCGUGAGUGAAGAAGGUUUUCGGAUCGUAAAGCUCUGUUGUUGGUGAAGAAGGAUAGAGGUAGUAACUGGCCUUUAUUUGACGGUAAUCAACCAGAAAGUCACGGCUAACUACGUGCCAGCAGCCGCGGUAAUACGUAGGUGGCAAGCGUUGUCCGGAUUUAUUGGGCGUAAAGCGAGCGCAGGCGGAAGAAUAAGUCUGAUGUGAAAGCCCUCGGCU